AUACUUACAUGGCAGAGGAGACACCAUGAUCAGGAAGGUGGUUUUCCCAGGGCGAGGCUCAGCCAUUGCACUUAGGAUGUGCUGACCCUUGAGAUUUCCCCAAAUGCAGGAAACUCAUCUGCAUAAUUUGUGGUAGUGGAACUGUGUUUGUGCUCUGUCUU
rnacentral:snRNA from 1 species